rnacentral:rRNA from 1 species
CCAAUAGCGUAUAUUAAAGUUGUUGCAGUUAAAAAGCUCGUAGUUGAAUUUCGGAAUCAGUACGUUGGUCAUGCUUUCGGGUAUGCACUGGCGUCACUGGUUUCUCCUUUCUGAAGAACCGUGAUGUCAUUAAUUUGGUGUUGCGGGAAAUCAGGACUGUUACUUUGAAAAAAUUAGAGUGUUUAAAGCAGGCUCACGCUUGAAUACAUUAGCAUGGAAUAAUGAAAUAGGACGUUUGAUUCUAUUUUGUUGGUUUCUAGGAUCGACGUAAUGAUUAAUAGGGAUAGUUGGGGGCAUUAGUAUUCAAUUGUCAGAGGUGAAAUUCUUGGAUUUAUUGAAGACUGACUACUGCGAAAGCAUUUGCCAAGGAUGUUUUCAUUAAUCAAGAACGAAAGUUAGGGGAUCGAAGACGAUCAGAUACCGUCGUAGUCUUAACCAUAAACUAUGCCGACUAGGGAUCGGAUGAUGUUAAUUUUAUAAUGACUCAUUCGGCGCCUUACG